rnacentral:rRNA from 1 species
UUACACAUGCAAGUCGAACGGUAGAGUAGCAAUACUCGAGAGUGGCGAACGGGUGAGUAAUAUAUCGGAACGUGCCCAGUCGUGGGGGAUAACGUAGAGAAAUUUACGCUAAUACCGCAUACGAUCUAAGGAUGAAAGCGGGGGAUCGCAAGACCUCGCGCGAUUGGAGCGGCUGAUAUCAGAUUAGGUUGUUGGUGAGGUAAAAGCUCACCAAGCCGACGAUCUGUAGCUGGUUUGAGAGAACGACCAGCCACACUGGGACUGAGACACGGCCCAGACUCCUACGGGAGGCAGCAGUGGGGAAUUUUGGACAAUGGGCGAAAGCCUGAUCCAGCAAUGCCGCGUGCAGGAAGAAGGCCUUCGGGUUGUAAACUGCUUUUGUACGGAACGAAACGGUCUGCUUUAAUACAGUGGGCUAAUGACGGUACCGUAAGAAUAAGCACCGGCUAACUACGUGCCAGCAGCCGCGGUAAUACGUAGGGUGCGAGCGUUAAUCGGAAUUACUGGGCGUAAAGCGUGCGCAGGCGGUUAUAUAAGACAGUUGUGAAAUCCCCGGGCUCAACCUGGGAAUUGCAUCUGUGACUGUAUAGCUAGAGUACGGUAGAGGGGGAUGGAAUUCCGCGUGUAGCAGUGAAGUGCGUAGAUAUGCGGAGGAACACCGAUGGCGAAGGCAAUCCCCUGGACCUGUACUGACGCUCAUGCACGAAAGCGUGGGGAGCAAACAGGAUUAGAUAC